AUGCUCUCGUGGUGGGGCUCCAUGUUGCUUUGGCCUGGAUGCUGCUGCCAUCUUGUGGAUGUCGCUUCUGAGGCGAAGGUUUCUUCUCUCUCCAAGGAAAGGUUAUCGUUCUUUCUCUUGCCCCAGUUAACAUUGCUCGCGUUAAUCCACAUGUUUAAAGCUCUUUCCUUAAACGCGGAGCCCCACCUAGGAGGCCCAGAAAUGGGGCCCCCCGGGUCAUCGGGGACAUUUCCCAUGCACUCCCACGGCCCACCAGGCUCCUUAAUAAGGGGAUGCCAUCAGAGGAAGGCAGUGCCUCCCCCCAACCCCCUCUCCACCGCAGAGCAGUCCUUUGGUGUUCAGUUUGCGGAGCCCUUUUCGAGGCUGCUCAUUCCACCUAUGACACCUCUCCUCGUGGCUUCAAGAAGCUGUAGCGUGUGUGGCGGCCACACUCCAGUAAAACCAUCUCAGCAGACAGGUCAGCUCAGGCUGAGGGGGUUCAAACCUUCGGUGAGUUAGGGGGAAUGUCCGCGUUAAACAUGUGAAGACUUCUUCCAGAAGAAUGAGUAGAUGAGAACAAGAACCAUUGUUCCAGCGGCCACGAGGGUGGCUGAAGCUGGCACUGUGGGGUGCUUAGAGCUUGGUCAGCCAUGGGAGAUGCCAAGGUCAUCCACUGCAUCCCGGGCCAUCACUACUCGUCCUGACUGUUGUUUUUAAUGAUGCUGGAAGAAUGGUGCUGACAACUUUAUGUGACUCUUCCUCACCUAACUCCAGUGCAUGAGCAAGUCAAGAUAUCACCUUGUGACAUCAUUGGUCCUCUUUGAAAUGAAGGAUGAACAACAACUUCUGGAUAGUGUCAGCAGUUCCUGAUUUACUCCCUUCCAGGGGCCCUUCCAUCUCCAACAAAGUCCAAAGACUAAUUUCAUUAAAAUGUAGCUUGAUAUGUUGAAAAUAUCGCUAUAUAUUUUGUUUUUAAUUUAUGAAUGUAUCUCUCCUUUACCCUAGGUCAAGAGCAUGAGGAGUGAGCUCCUUUUAGUUCAUAAGUCUGUAUUCAUGGUGUGAAGUAAGCUUACUCCUUGGGCCAGUAUAGACUUUGCCUUCUAGGAACUUUCUAUCUAGUUGAGGCAAUAAAAGACCUGUGUAGACCCUGCCCUCUAGGAAU
rnacentral:lncRNA from 1 species